ncrna:unclassified sequences 6A RNA
AGAUCUGUUCGUAGAGCGCGAGCAGGGUAAAUGAAAAAAAGCUCACCGAGA